rnacentral:lncRNA from 1 species
AUGGCAGGCUGCAGGUGCCGAGCCCUGCCCCGCGGGAAGGCAGCUAAGGCCCUGCGAGAGAUUGAGCACAGCAGCUGCUGGCCCAGGUGCUAAGCCCCUCACUGCCCUGGGCCGGUGGGGCCCGCCGGCGGCUCCGAGUGCGGGGUCCGCCGAGCCCACGCCCACCCGGAACUCGCGCUGGCCCGUAAGCACCGCGCGCAGCCCCGGUUCUCGCUGGCGCCUCUCCCUCCACAACUCCCCGCAAGCUGAGGGAGCCGGCUUCGGCCUUGGCCAGCCCAGAAAAGGGAUCCCACAGUGCAGCGGCGGGCUGAAGGGCUCCUCAAGUGCCGCCAAAGUGGGAGCCCAGGCAGAGGAGGCGCCGAGAGCGAGCGAAGGCUGUGAGGACUGCCAGCAGGCUGUCACCUCUCACCAGGUUGGCAGAAAAAGAAAACAUUAGCAGCCAAAUUAGCCAGUCUGCCUGUGGAAUGAAGGCUCCAGUUUUUGACCUCUAAUGAAAGAAGAAAGAAUACUCAUUGAGGUUUCAGCUGCUUGGGGCCAUUUAGGCAUGGAUUUUCUUCUGCCUCUGCCACCUGGAGACAGGAAGACCAACCCCUCCUGCCCUCCUCCUCCCUAGCCUAGCCAAUGUGAAGAUGACAAGAAUGAAGACGUUUAUGAUGAUCCACUUCCACUUGAUGAACAACCCCAACCCAGAAGCACAGCAGCUGUUGCCAGUGACCUUCUUCCUUGCCAUCUGGCUCUAUUUCAGAUACUUGAUAAUGAUUAAGAUUAUUCAGACUUCUACAAACAACUAGAAGAAAGGCAAGAUUUCCACUUAACCUGGUCGAGCUCUCCAAAUCAGCACUUGCAAUACAAAGCAACCAUUUUGAUGUCUAUAUUUAUUUAUGAGCAUGUAGUUCUGGAUUUUUUGUUUUCUUUCUCUUUGUAGCAACAGCUAUGGGUGAAGAAAUGUCUGUUUAGCAUGCAAAUUCCUGGAGAGACUGUCAUUUGAACUAACUUUUCAUAGUUCCUAACAGUGUCAAAAUUUUAAGGUGGCAGAAUGCUUUUUAAUAAUAGAGAGAUAAAAAAUAUAGAAACUAACCCAUUUCUUCUCUGGGACGCAUGAGAUAAAGUGGAGUAACUAAGCAGAUAACAGUAAACUUGUGCUUCAUGCUAUAACCCUUAGAGUGAAUCCCUUUAUCUCCCAGAGUGUUUCAUGGGAACGAAACAAAGUGAAACAGCUUUCAGAGAGAUCUCUGGAACCCAUCCUUAGUGAUCCUCCUCCUCAGCCUUGUAUCUAACAGGAGCUUCUACAGACUCUGCCAAAUAUAAAUCCAGACACAUUUUAGGACUGAUGCUUCAGUUGCGGAUCUGAUGAACUCUAUGAAUCACCUCCCCAAGAAUAUAUGCAUAUGCACAUAAAAGAAAACUUUGCAAAUGUUUCUAUCAUACCAGAGACCUAGUCAUAGAUGCCCCUGCCUCUGAGUUAGCCAUAACACUGUUGGUAAUUAUAGACAUAAUUUACUUUAACCUUUUUUGGAAAUAGCUUUCGUGUUGUCCUCUGCAGGAUCACAUUUUCUUUAUUCUCACUCCUUGAACUUUGGGAGGGACUGAUCCAAUCUCUUGCUCUGUCUGGGUGGCCACAUGACUCAGGCUUGGACAUGUUGGCCACAUGUUGAGGUUAGGUAUAGUCAUGUGACUGAAGCCAUGUAAAUGAGCCCCUGGAGAAUUUGGGGGAGCUUCAGGGAAAAGGUUUUAAAAAAUGUUUUGAUCCGUUAGUAGUGUGUAUAAAAUAUGUUUGGUCAUGCUGGCAACUGCUAUGCAGAGUCUAGGAUUAAGACAAGAGAGAAAAUUAAGGACAAAUCCAGGAAGAGGAAAGAGAGAAACUGAGAGAAAGUCAUCAUUUGAGUCCCUAAAUCCACAGUGUUGGCCACAUGUUGAGGUUAGAUAUAGUCAUGUGACUGAAGCCAUGUAAAUGAGCCCCUGGAGAAUUUGGGGGAGCUUCAGGGAAAAGGUUUUAAAAAAUGUUUUGAUCCAUUAGUAGUGUGUAUAAAAUAUGUUUGGUCAUGCUGGCAACUGCUAUGCAGAGUCUAGGGUUAAGACUGGAGAGAAAACCAAGGACAAAUCCAGGAAGAGGAAAGAGA